rnacentral:rRNA from 1 species
AUUGAACGCUGGCGGCAGGCCUAACACAUGCAAGUCGAGCGGAACGACGGACGGAUGAGUAAUGCCUAUGUAUCUGCCUGGUAGUUGGGGAUAAAGACCUGAAACGGACGCUAGUACCUCAUACUUGCAAAUAGACCUGGGUCGGAUUAGCUAGUUGGUGGGUUAAAGGCUUACCAAGGCGACGGUCCGUCACUGGUCUGAGAGGAUGAUCAGUCACACUGGAACUGAGACACGGUCCAGACUCCUACGGGAGGCAGCAGUGGGGAAUAUUGGACAAUGGGCGAAAGCCUGAUGCAGCCAUGCCGCGUGUGUGAAGAAGGUCUUCGGAUUGUAAAGCACUUUAAGUUGGGAGGCGUUACCAACAGAAGAAGCACCGGCUAACUCCGUGCCAGCAGCCGCGGUAAUUC